rnacentral:rRNA from 1 species
GGGCCCGCACAAGCGGUGGAGCAUGUGGUUUAAUUCGACGCAACGCGAAGAACCUUACCAGGUCUUGACAUCCUGCGAACUUUCUAGAGAUAGAUUGGUGCCUUCGGGAACGCAGUGACAGGUGCUGCAUGGCUGUCGUCAGCUCGUGUCGUGAGAUGUUCGGUUAAGUCCGGCAACGAGCGCAACCCACAUCCCUAGUUGCCAGCAGUUCGGCUGGGCACUCUAUGGAAACUGCCCGUGAUAAGCGGGAGGAAGGUGUGGAUGACGUCAAGUCCUCAUGGCCCUUACGGGUUGGGCUACACACGUGCUACAAUGGUAGUGACAAUGGGUUAAAUCCCAAAAAGCUAUCUCAGUUCGGAUUGUCGUCUGCAACUCGACGGCAUG